GAUGAGCGCUGGCGGCGUGCUUAACACAUGCAAGUCGAACGGAAAGGCUCCUGCUUGCAGGGGUACUCGAGUGGCGAACGGGUGAGUAACACGUGGGUGAUCUGCCCUGCACUUCGGGACAAGCCUGGGAAACUGGGUCUAAUACCGGAUAGGACGAUGGUUUGGAUGCCAUUGUGGAAAGUUUUUUCGGUGUGGGAUGAGCUCGCGGCCUAUCAGCUUGUUGGUGGGGUAAUGGCCUACCAAGGCGUCGACGGGUAGCCGGCCUGAGAGGGUGUACGGCCACAUUGGGACUGAGAUACGGCCCAGACUCCUACGGGAGGCAGCAGUGGGGAAUAUUGCACAACGGGCGCAAGCCUGAUGCGGCGACGCCGCGUGGGGGAUGACGGCCUUCGGGUUGUAAACUCCUUUCGCUAGGGACGAAGCGCAAGUGACGGUACCUGGAGAAGAAGCACCGGCUAACUACGUG
rnacentral:rRNA from 1 species